GGCAGAGUGGCGCAGCGGAAGCGUGCUGGGCCCAUAACCCAGAGGUCAUUGGAUCGAAACCAUUCUCUGCUA
rnacentral:tRNA from 1 species